rnacentral:rRNA from 1 species
CGCGUGGGAACCUGCCUUUCUCUGCGGGACAACGGUUGGAAACGACCGCUAAUACCGCAUACGCUCUACGGAGGAAAGGUCAGCCGGAGAAAGAGGGGCCCGCGUUCGAUUAGUUAGUUGGUGGGGUAAAGGCCUACCAAGGCGACGAUCGAUAGCUGGUCUGAGAGGAUGAUCAGCCACACUGGGACUGAGACACGGCCCAGACUCCUACGGGAGGCAGCAGUGGGGAAUAUUGGACAAUGGGGGCAACCCUGAUCCAGCAAUGCCGCGUGUGUGAUGAAGGCCUUAGGGUUGUAAAGC